rnacentral:tRNA from 1 species
GGCUGUAGCUCAGUGGUAGAGCAUUUGUCUAACAUAUGUGAGAUCCUGGGUUUGAUCCCCAGCACUG